rnacentral:misc_RNA from 1 species
GAUGAAGAACGCAGCGAAAUGCGAUAAGUAAUGCGAAUUGCAGAAUUUCCGUGAGUCAUCGAAUCUUUGAACGCACAUUGCGCCCACUGGUAUUCCGGUGGGCAUGCCUGUUCGAGCGUCAUUAUCCUCCCUCAAACCCCGGGUUUGGUGUUGGACCCAAGUUGUGUGAACAACUGGUCUCAAGGACAAUGACGGCGUCCGUGGGACCCUCGGUGCAACGAGCUUUUAGGAGCACGCAUCGAGUUGCAAGGACCUUCCGGGCCGGUCUCCUUUACCAUUUUACAAGGUUGACCUCGGAUCAGGUAGGAAUACCCGCUGAACUUAAGCAUAUCAAUAAGCGGAGGA